GAUUAUGGCUCAGGAUGAACGCUAGCGACAGGCCUAACACAUGCAAGUCGAGCGGCAGCACUUCGGGUGGCGAGCGGCGCACGGGUGAGUAACGCGUAUGUAACCUGCCCAUGAGUGGGGGAUAGCCCGGUGAAAACCGGAUUAAUACCCCAUGACACCAUUGUCUGACAUCAUUUAAUGGUUAAAGAUUCAUUGCUCAUGGAUGGACAUGCGUUGGAUUAGCUAGUCGGCGGGGCAACGGCCCACCGAGGCUACGAUCCAUAGGGGUUCUGAGAGGAAGGUCCCCCACAUUGGUACUGAGACACGGACCAAACUCCUACGGGAGGCAGCAGUGAGGAAUAUUGGUCAAUGGGCGGAAGCCUGAACCAGCCAAGUCGCGUGAAGGAUGAAGGUAUUAUGUAUUGUAAACUUCUUUAGCUGUGGAGAAAUAAGGUGGUCGAGACCACCGAUGCUAGUACACAGAGAAUAAGGAUCGGCUAACUCCGUGCCAGCCGCAGC
rnacentral:rRNA from 1 species